AAAGGGAGACCUAAUUCGGGUAGGAGACGAAAAAAAAGUAGUCCCUACCAAGAAUCAAUCCCAAAAGGUCGGAGCGAGGCGAAAUUGGCUUUCAAACUAGGUUCUGGGUUCACACAAGACCUGAAUCAGGAACAAGGGCUAUUAGCUCAGGUGGUUAGAGCGCACCCCUGAUAAGGGUGAGGUCCCUGGUUCGAGUCCAGGAUGGCCCACCUGCACAGGUGGCAAAAACAAAGAAAAAAAGCUCCGAAUCAGCACCUUAUCUUACUUAUAUAGUAAGAGAGAAUGCUGGCUCUGAGUUCAGAGUCCAGAGGAACCUUGAAAACUGCAUAGAGCUAGGUGAAAAAGCCAAAAAAGAAGACCGUCAG
rnacentral:tRNA from 1 species